UCCGCGUCAAGUCCACCCGCGCAGUGCUGAGCCCGGGAGACCGCCUCCCCCAGCCCCGCCUUCUCACGGGGUUGGGUGGGCAGACCCCGAAGGGCAGACGGGCACCCCUCGCAGGGGGAUGUAUUGUCGGCGGCUGAACGGCACCAGGUGUCUGACCGGAAUUGAACCGUGACCUCCAGGUUCAUAGGUUGACGUCCAACCACUGAGCUACGCUGGCCGGGCGACACCACUCUUCUUUGGGUCACAGAUGUGCACGCUUGAGAGCUCGAUCGCUAUGGUAAGUUCAAAAUGGGUCCUAGAUGAGCCACUCGGACAGGGUCCUAGGAGACGAUGGAAUGUUCUGGAAGGACGAGGGGUCAGAAAGAUCUCUGUCAAGGAGAGUGUAUGGAUGGGAAUUCGAUUAUGGACCAUACAGUCUUCCUCUUUGGUGAGCGUAUUAAUUACCACUAGGAACAUUAGGCAGUAUGCUGCAUCACGUACCAGUGUUACUGGCAAUGUCGGCUUUGGUUCUUGAGUUCAGCAAAGAGAGAAUUCAGAGCCCAAAACGCUAGCACAAGAGGAAGUGAAUUUAACACCCAAAGUGAAAGUACAUGGGACGAGAGGAUUCGAUCAGGCUGCUCAGAGCGCUGCCUCGGCCUCUUAGAAAGACAGUCACAGGCAGAAGUGAGCCAGCUGGGCCGCGUAGACUCGGGAACCAGCUACAGGUUGGAGACGGGUUUAGGGGGUUAGCCUGGGACGAGGUGCCGCUGCCCGCUGGUCCCCUGGUUGCAAGUCUCCUGGGAACCUUAGAACUUAGAAAAAAGAAAGCAAAGAUACACGCGGUUAACUCUCUGCUUCUUCGUUCGAGAAGUGACAGGGCCAGUUAUGUAACGAGAUCCUGGCUCCCACCUGGGAGAGUCCGACCCAGGUGGCCAUGCUGGUGGGCCAUGUGGGUGUCCGUAGUCAGAUUGCUAUGGAGGCCGCAGCACAGAGAGACCCCAUGGGCUGGAAGCCCGGGCCAGGAGCGUGGUGUAGAUUUCAGGUCCCAGGCACGGAAUGUUCUCUCCUGGAAUAGACCGGAGCCCAUCAAGGCCAGCAGCGCCGACUCGAAACCUUCCCUAAACCUUCAAGGUCCCCAUCAGUGUGGCCACCACCUUGGUCGACUCCCCUGCUCAUCUUCCAGGCAGCUCUCUGACCACUCUUCUUAUGGCCAGACUCCUUCUCCCGUUCGCUCAUUCAUCCAGCACAACUGAAUGUGAAUGUCAUUUCCCUGGGUGCUGGGCAUGGGGGGCAGGAAUGACGUCAUCUUUGUCCUUUCUCUUAGGGAGCCCACAUCCUGGUGAGACCGAUCUCUGCAGCAGGGCAUGUUCACCCAGGAACGGGUUAGAUACGCUGGAGAGUAAGGAACAGCGUGGUCUGGUCAAGCCCAUGAGGAAGGGGAGACUCCCCAGCGUCGCUAAUGGAAGGAGCGGCUUUCUCCGCGGAUAAUGGCCUUGUUAUUGCUUCAGAGCCGGCAGCUGGCGCAACACCGGCUUUCUCUCGGCCCCAGCCCAUCACUGACGUCGGAUGGCUAAGUGCUGCUGCCAGGCCUCUUCU